UCCACGUUGAUUCCCACCGAAGCUGAACUCGAAGAGGCCUAUUGGAAAGAGUUGAAACCAAUCGUAGAAGAAGAUGAGAGUGUUUCACAUCAUUCCGAAGGAGACGAGGCUGAGCAAGAUGUCCAUAUCAUGCAUACCACAAAGAGUCUCCUAGAGCAGCUCAACCACCACAACAUGGUUUUGAGAUCAACAUAGAGGAUUUAUUGAGAACGGAAAUUGAAAAACUUGAGGGAAGGCUACAAGCAGUUUUAUCGACUCGACUUGAUUGGGUGGAGAAAAAGGUUGACAGGUUAGUUGAAUUGGCUGUGGCGGAUCGGUUCCAUCCAGCAACUAGUGCAUUUGAUGGUGCCACUAGUAGCACAGCUUAUUGACCAGAAAAUGAACCGAAGGAUGGGUUGGAAAAGGAGGUUGGGUUUGAUGAUGUGAUAGAUGUGCAUACUGUUGAAAGAAAGGUAGAUUUGCCUGAAAGAGGAUUCAAAGUUAGAGGAGGAGGAGGAGGUUAGAGGAAAAAAUGUAGGAGGGAAAGAGUUGGAAACUGAGCCUGGAUUUGAUGAUGUGAGAGAUGUGCCUGCUGUUGAAACAAAUGUAGAAGCGCGUGAGGAGGACCCAAAGUUAGAGGAGGAGGUUAGAGGCAAAAAUGUAGGAGGGAAGGACUUGGAAAAGGAAGCUGGAUCUGGGAAUGAUAUAGAUGAGCAAGAAAAUGAAAAAAUGAUCAAGGAGAGUGUUGGAAAAGAAAUAAUAUUAGAGGAAGAGCAUCCCGACGUGAAGAAAGGGACUGCUGAUUUUGUGACACCUGAAAAGUAUGAUGUAGAUACAAAUGAAUCCACAUAAGGGACGUUGUAGAAAUCGAUGCGGCGGGAUCCGAUCCAUCGAAAGGACGACGGUAUCGUCGGAAGAGAAAAGCGCGCUUACUGUGUUCUCCGUACACUGACGUGACGAAGAGGAGAAAGUUGUCGGACAUCAAUGUAUACGAUCCUUAUCGAGAAGUAGAUCCCAGCAAGGUUGAUGCUUUUUGCAAAUGGAUGGAAACUACAUCUUGGUGCCAAAUUAUACCUUUGUGCUUCUAUGAUGUUCAAUCAAAAAGUUCGAUGGAUCUUUUGGAAGAGGAUGGUUAGAUUAAUGACAGUAUUAUGAACGAGGCCCUAUAUCAGAUACGAGAAAGGGCUUUCAGAUUUUCCAAUCUGUUUUGGCAAGAUUGUUGCAUAUUAGACACUUAUUUCUAUCAAUUUGUUGUCAAUGCAUAUGGCCAAUUACAGUCCAAUAAAGAGCUCAAAUGUAGUAAGAGUCUAAUGAAUUAUGUGAGAGGGGCUACUCCGGAGCUCAGUAAACCUUGGAGACCCGCGAUCAUUGGUUUGCAGUUCAAGUCGACAUGGAGGAACGGGCCAUUUUAAUGUUUGAUAGUCUGAAGUGUCACAUUCGUCGGGCAGCGUUGGAAGCUUACCUUUUGCCUCUACAGGUUCUUAUUCCAUUGAUAAUAAAAUCUCUUGUCACCAGUGAAAGCAAAUAUAAUACGAAGAACUUUAAACUUGUGAAUGUAAAAGAUGUUCCCAACAAGUGAACGAAUCCGAUUGUGGAAUAUUCGCUAUCAAAUUAAUAGAAUUUUUGCACGCAAAUAUGGACGUAAAUACAAUUCGACCGGAUUACGCACCAGUAUGGAGAAAGAAACUGGUUGCACAGUUGUUGGCUUGGGAUUUUGAGCCGUAGAUUGUGCUUUGCUCGUAUUUUUUUAAUAUUUUUAUAACAUUAUGUAUUCACUUGGUUGUUUUGGCUUUGGAGUAGCAGUUAUUUUGGAGUUUGAAUACAAUUUCAAUGUACAUAUUUUUCAUUGUCUUCUAUAACUUUAAAGUUUAGAUAUUGUCUAUGUCAGGUUGUUGAGUUUUAGAUGUACAAGCCUAUAUGUUUUCCAUUGUCUUCCAUUGUCAUAUC